CAGUCUGCUGCCAGUUGCAAAGAGCUGCUUCUUCCUCUGGGACACGCUUCUCCAUGAGUUACAUCAAGGUCCUCAGUAAAUUGGCAUACGGCAAUAGUCAACAGCUGGACAGGAAGCCAGGGGCCUUGGGUUCAAAUCCUGUCUCCGCCACUCGAGUUGUGCCUUUGUGAUUGCAAGCCACCUAGAUUGCUUAAGCUAACGGGGAAGUGGGGGCAGAGUCAUUCACUGUAAAAUCACAGGAAAGUUUUGAAGGUUGACGACCUCUCAUCUAAAAUGGAGAAGCCCCAAAUACCUCCAGAUCUUGUGAGCACUUCCACAGAGUCGCAAAGAAUAGAAGCGGAUUGUUCCAGCUAUGAUCAACAUCUGAUAUCUCUCAACGUAGAGCUAAGAAACAGACCAUACUCCC